CAAGGAUACAAGGACAGAAUGAGCUCCCUGCUGUUACAGUUCCUGAGCCCAGCUGAUACGAUGACGCCAUGAUGUGAAGUCUCCAAAGAGAUCACUGUAAAAUGCAAUCAGGACUUCCCAGCACGUGCAGUGUUAGGAUCUGAAUUAAGCUCACUAGACUCCAGACUACCCGGCUUUUCUUCUUGAGUUAUAAAUCAAAUCACAGUCAGGUAUAGUAAAUGAUCUAAAAGUCUCACCCAGAGCAUUUCCUAAUCCUGAGCAAUGGGCUGUUGGGUACUCUCACCCACACAGAAAGAUCACAGGGAGUGACCUCUUGAGCUAAGCGCUCAUUUGUCACUUGUGUCACUUUGAAUGAGUACAGUGAGUUAGUUCUUUUUUCUUUUGGCUUUUUUUCUUUUU
rnacentral:lncRNA from 1 species